UACGUAGGGGGCUAGCGUUGUCCGGAUUUAUUGGGCGUAAAGAGCGUGUAGGCGGCCAGGUAGGUCUGCUGUGAAAACUCGAGGCUCAACCUCGAGACGUCGGCGGAAACCAUCUGGCUAGAGUCCGGAAGAGGAGAGUGGAAUUCCUGGUGUAGCGGUGAAAUGCGCAGAUAUCAGGAAGAACACCCGUGGCGAAAGCGCUCUGCUAGGCCGCAACUGACACUCAUGGACGAAAGCUAGGGGAGCGAAUGGG
rnacentral:rRNA from 1 species